GAUGAACGCUGGCGGCGUGCCUAAUACAUGCAAGUCGAGCGAACAGACGAGGAGCUUGCUCCUCUGACGUUAGCGGCGGACGGGUGAGUAACACGUGGAUAACCUACCUAUAAGACUGGGAUAACUUCGGGAAACCGGAGCUAAUACCGGAUAAUAUAUUGAACCGCAUGGUUCAAUAGUGAAAGACGGUUUUGCUGUCACUUAUAGAUGGAUCCGCGCCGCAUUAGCUAGUUGGUAAGGUAACGGCUUACCAAGGCGACGAUGCGUAGCCGACCUGAGAGGGUGAUCGGCCACACUGGAACUGAGACAAGGUCCAGACUCCUACGGGAGGCAGCAGUAGGGAAUCUUCCGCAAUGGGCGAAAGCCUGACGGAGCAACGCCGCGUGAGUGAUGAAGGUCUUCGGAUCGUAAAACUCUGUUAUUAGGGAAGAACAAAUGUGUAAGUAACUAUGCACGUCUUGACGGUACCUAAUCAGAAAGCCACGGCUAACUACGUG
rnacentral:rRNA from 1 species